UUUUUUUUUUUUUUUUUUUUUUUUUUUUUUUUUG
rnacentral:ribozyme from 1 species